CUGCUGUAGUGUCUCACUGGACGCUUUCGAGAAUGAAAUACUUUCAGUGUAUUAUAUUGUAUUUCGAUUAUAUUAACUUUACAGUGUAUUCAGCUGAUUAACGGUGUGCUAAUGAAUUGUAACGAAUUGUAACGAUGUUGUAAGUGAAAUGGAAUAAACAACCGAUGAGCUGUGCUCAUUCGAGUUCUAGACGUUAACAAAACAAGUCCUUUAUUUUAAGACAUAUCAACUGGCGACGACAGGAUAAAAAAGAGGUGCUUUUUACAUAGUUCUACUAUUGUGUGGAAAAUCGUACUUUCCAUUGUGCAGUGGAUAGUGGCCAUCAUUUCGGAGGAAAUCCAUCAAAAAAGGCCUAUACUUGCAAGUUGGGACCGGAAUUGAAAGAAGAGUAAGGUUAGAAGGAACGUUUUUGGACCUAAGAGGAGUGCUUUGGACCAUCCCGAGCCAUACUCUUGCGCUUGGUGCCCGUUUGUAAGCUGGUAAUAAUCGAGAAUCGUCUGCUAACUGGCACGAUACCAGCGGAACAAGGCAUUUGUUCGUUAAGCUGAAGAGAAUAUCCGGAUUACUGUUCGGACGAGUGCGACCGUGCGCCCAUUACGAUCUGUUUUGGAGUUGUCUCUGGCUAACUGGCUUGUGAAGGUUGAACACCGGAAGAUUUGGUGGAAAUUGGAAGCGUGCAAACCACUGCUCAUCGCACACAGAUCCGUCUGUUUAAUGACCCGGAUUCAACAAGACCAAACAUCUCGCUUCCUACGCCCAGCACACAAGACAUGGCCAUUUCAAGUACC